UAGCUGGUCUGAGAGGAUGACCAGCCACACUGGAACUGAGACACGGUCCAGACUCCUACGGGAGGCAGCAGUGGGGAAUAUUGCACAAUGGGCGCAAGCCUGAUGCAGCCAUGCCGCGUGUAUGAAGAAGGCCUUCGGGUUGUAAAGUACUUUCAGCGGGGAGGAAGGGAGUAAAGUUAAUACCUUUGCUCAUUGACGUUACCCGCAGAAGAAGCACCGGCUAACUCCGUGCCAGCAGCCGCGGUAAUACGGAGGGUGCAAGCGCUAAUCGGAAUUACUGGGCGUAAAGCGCACGCAGGCGGUUUGUUAAGUCAGAUGUGAAAUCCCCGGGCUCAACCUGGGAACUGCAUCUGAUACUGGCAAGCUUGAGUCUCGUAGAGGGGGGUAGAAUUCCAGGUGUAGCGGUGAAAUGCGUAGAGAUCUGGAGGAAUACCGGUGGCGAAGGCGGCCCCCUGGACGAAGACUGACGCUCAGGUGCGAAAGCGUGGGGAGCAAACAGGAUUAGAUACCCUGGUAGUCCACGCC
rnacentral:rRNA from 1 species